rnacentral:rRNA from 1 species
AUUGAACGCUGGCGGCGUGCUUAACACAUGCAAGUCGUGCGAGAAAGGGGACUUCGGUCCCUGAGUAGAGCGGCGCACGGGUGAGUAACGCGUGGAUAAUCUACCCAGAUGUUCGGGAUAACGGUGGGAAACUGCCGCUAAUACCGGAUACGAUCCAAUUUCGGUUGGGUGAAAGGCGGCCUCUGCUUGCAAGCUGUCGCAUCUGGAUGAGUCCGCGUCCCAUUAGCUUGUUGGUGGGGUAAUGGCCUACCAAGGCUACGAUGGGUAACUGGUCUGAGAGGAUGAUCAGUCACACUGGAACUGAAACACGGUCCAGACUCCUACGGGUGGCUG